UACAGAGGGGGCAAGCGUUGUUCGGAAUCACUGGGCGUAAAGGGUGCGUAGGCGGGUCUUUAAGUCAGGGGUGAAAUCCUGGAGCUCAACUCCAGAACUGCCUUUGAUACUGAAGAUCUUGAGUUCGGGAGAGGUGAGUGGAACUGCGAGUGUAGAGGUGAAAUUCGUAGAUAUUCGCAAGAACACCAGUGGCGAAGGCGGCUCACUGGCCCGGUACUGACGCUGAGGUGCGAAAGCGUGGGGAGCAAACAGG
rnacentral:rRNA from 1 species